GACCAGACUCCUACGGGAGGCAGCAGUGAGGAAUAUUGGUCAAUGGCCGAGAGGCUGAACCAGCCAAGUCGCGUGAGGGAAGAAUGUCCUAUGGAUUGUAAACCUCUUUUGUCAGGGAGCAAAGUCACCCACGUGUGGGUGUUGGAGAGUACCUGAAGAAAAAGCAUCGGCUAACUCCGUGCCAGCAGCCGCGGUAAUACGGAGGAUGCGAGCGUUAUCCGGAUUUAUUGGGUUUAAAGGGUGCGUAGGCGGAAUGCCAAGUCAGCGGUAAAAUCGCGGGGCUCAACCCCGCCCAGCCGUCGGAACUGCCGGGCUAGAGUGGGCGAGAAGUGCGCGGAAUGCGUGGUGUAGCGGUGAAAUGCAUAGAUAUCACGCAGAACUCCGAUUGCGAAGGCAGCGUACCGGCGCCCAACUGACGCUGAAGCACGAAGGCGUGGGUAUCGAACAGGAUUAGAUACCCUGGUAA
rnacentral:rRNA from 1 species